rnacentral:lncRNA from 1 species
UAAUACAUGAUGAACAUUUCUUAGAAAUAGUGGUCAAUUACAUCAUAUAAUUUGGUUCUGUACAAAAGAAAGUUUCCUAUUUUGUGUAUAUAUCUUAAACACCACCCCUUGCGAUGAACUCUUUAUCUUUGUCCACAAAUUUGGUUAUUCCCCAUCCAGCAUGUCAGUUGCAGUCUCCUGAAGCAUAGGAACAACAUAAGUUAAAACAAUCUGGUCAAACAUACACUAAGAAUAUACUCAUGGGCAUUAUCGACAGAUUAACCAAAGUUAUAGUCCUUUUCUAAAAAAGACCAAAGUUAUAGUGCAACAGGUUCUAUGUGAAGUCAAGUUACCAUGCGGUUUUUACGAACCAAUGGAAAAAAUGUGAAACACUGACGCAAGAAUUAACCUGAGAAGGUCGUUCUUCAAGCUGACUCCUAGC